AGGGGGGGCAAGCGUUGUUCGGAAUUACUGGGCGUAAAGGGUUCGUAGGUGGCCAACUAAGUCAGACGUGAAAUCCCUCAGCUUAACUGGGGAACUGCGUCUGAUACUGGAUGGCCUGAGUGUAGGAGAGGAAUGCGGAAUUCCAGGUGUAGCGGUGAAAUGCGUAGAUAUCUGGAGGAACACCGGUGGCGAAGGCGGCAUUCUGGACUACAACUGACACUGAGGAACGAAAGCCAGGGGAGCAAACGGGAUUAGAUACCCCGGUAGUCCUGUCCCUAAACGAUGAAUGCUUGGUGUAACGGGUAUCGAUCCCUGUUGUGCCGAAGCUAACGCAUUAAGCAUUCCGCCUGGGGAGUACGGUCGCAAGGCUG
rnacentral:rRNA from 1 species